UUGUGGCUCAAGGUCCUCGGAGCAAAAUGCUACAGCAGGAAGGGGAGAGGAAAUCUGGCUGUGGUAUACUGGAGGGGAACAAACAAGGGAGGCUCUUAAAGUCUAGGCAAGGCAAUGUCUCCAAGGACAGUGCAAUUUCUCAUCAGUGAGCUAUUGGUCAGACUCCCCAGUCUCAGAGGCCAGUUCAGGGUUUCUGUGCUGCCAGGGUGACAUUGCUCAAUCGCCUGUAGGGGAGCUGCAGCCCUGGAAAGAAGCCCAGGCUGUAGGGCUGCUGGUAUCUGGCUGGUCUUCUACUCCAAGAUAGAGGAGAAUGUCACUCCUGGUAAAUGUUCCUUCAAAUGACCUUUCUGAGAUAAGCCCUGUCCACCUUUCUGAAAUAAGUCCUGUCCAUUUCAGCAUCUGCCUUCCUCAGUAUGUCCUCUCCAGCACCAAAAAGACACGUCCUCUGAGAUCCAGCCAGUUCCCCUGACAUCCUUGGGUACUGGUGACGGUGCUUCUAGGGGAGUGAAGUCACUCCCAGCAUUGCUUUUCCGUGGGGAUCCUGUCGCGCUGAUGGUGGUGUGACACCUGAGUACAGACUGGCUUUUCAGCAAGAUACGUUUCUUUUUAGUUUAUGCUGCCAGUUUUCUCUGGAGAAUCAAGUUCUGUUUAAUCCAAAUGGGAAAUGUUUGGAAUGGUGAUGUCACUGUCUGUCAUUGAAAAUUAAAAAGAGAGGGGACAUAUGCCAACACCUUCCCUUGGAAUUUCUUUACCUGAGCUUUCAAUGUAGUAACAGAGUGUCUUAGAUCUCAAAUCUUUUCACCGUUUAUCACUUGGUCGUCAAGAUGAUGAAUGCUUCUGGCCCUAAAAUAUGCAUUAUUACAAUUCUUUGGUUUAAAAAUAUAUGGAUAGCUUUAAUAAAAGGGAUGACUGGAUCAAUUAAACCUUCUAAAUCCAAAGUCAAGCCCUCUUGGUUAAACCUAUAAUAUUGUGUCUCAUAGGUUUAGCUUUAAACUAAGGAUUUAAAGCAUAACCUAUCCAUUCCUCUGAAGAAUUUAACUUAAAAGAAAAAUCCAAUUGGGGAUAAUUGUUCACAUCUGCCUAAUGAUGUUGCUAUUUGAAAAGACAUAAGAGAAUGUACAUUUCUGAGUUACAGUAGCUUUCAGUUUAUAAUUAAAAUAAAAAUGGGAAAUUUUAAUUUUAUAUGAGGACUCAAGGUAACACAUUUUUUUAGCAUUAUCAGACAUUGAUUUUUUUUCUUAUUUUUUCUGCUUUUGUGCAGGUGAUGUAAGGAGGAGCAGAUGUGUUGCCUCUAGCAAGGCAAUAAUUCACUUCAUUUUUAUUGUUUGAUUUGCCUUGUGUGUGCUGUUCAUUGCUAACUGAGGCCUGCAAUGCUGUCCAUGGGAUCUGAAAUGUACAAGAACAGGUCAGAAGGCCUUGGGAGAACUGAAAAAGAAGUCAUUGCCCUGGCCUUAGUCACCUGUCCCCAGACAAAAAUCACACCCUGUCAUCCAUGAAGAUUUAGAGACCAGCCCCCAGUCAGCUGCUAUUUUUGACCAUAGUCCUUGCUGCCCUAGGCUCUUAGCCAUGGGACCGAGAACGUUAAUGUCAGAAAGAAGUUAGAAACUGAUGCUGAAGAGCAGACCUGUGUUGGAAAGAACAUAGUUCAAGGGAGACUGGUGAAUGAAGAAGGGAAGAUCAAUGUGAUGGCUGGAGCUUUAGCUGCCACAUUGGACCAUCAAGUGAAUUCAAGAUGGAAGCCAUAUGCUAAGUAUGGCAGAACAAAAAGACAGAGGAAACCUGGAACUUUGAUGACACUGUAGCUCCCAAAUCAGCCAGAAUCCAGCCUUAUGUUGUAUGAGAGAGAAAUAAGCUUCUAUCUUAUUGAAACCACUGUUAUUUCCUCCUUCACCUGGGACAUCACAAGCCUAGGGAAUCUUUGACCAGAGAGUGAAAAAUUAGAGAUUUUAUUUGUUUGUCUUUUGGUGAUUCUGAAGAGCAGUCACCGUUGGGAGCCCUGGAGCAAAUGCCAUCUAAGAUGGCCCGCAGGGCUCCAGUGUUUUCUGACUCCAAAGCCCCCUCAAGCAUAUUCUGUGCAGUUCCACACAACUCAGCCCAGAGGAGACGGCGGGCCUCACUGUGAAGCCCCGUGAGAGAGUCGGCGUGUACCCCGGGGGGCAGCCAGCACGGCAGAGCGUGUGACUUGCGUGGCGUGUGGGAGAGGGCUCCGGGGCCGUGCCUGUUUCUUAGCUGGUUCUGCUUUGGAGCCAGUGAAUUGGCCUCGCCUGGGGCCAGCGGGACCUUGGCCCGGACGGUGACUGUCCACCGCCUUGUUCCCGACGGCCCGGUCCUUCUCGCCAUCGUGCUGUGGUGGGGAACACCCGACACGCCUGCCCCAGGUCCGAGGAGCACGUCAGGAAUCCCACAAGCCUGCCUUGCAUCCUUGAGGCCGGCACCCUUCACGUGAGAUUUUGAAUGCAGUCAUGUGUCUCCAGCUGUCCCAGAGUCACAAAAAGUCCCCGUUCUAAUGAGGAGCUGUGGAAUGCUAAGGCUAAAGCUGCCUUGAGCUCUUCUUUCACAAGUUUCAAUCAUGGGUUAAUGCUGACAUUCUUUGGCUUUAGUAAAUGGGGAGGAUCCUUUUGUGUUUGUGUGAGGGCAGAGGCAGGGAUAAUUCGUGGCUCUCGGGGCUGACUUUGAUCCAGAAGUGUGUGUCUAGACUGCUUCUGAGUGGCAGGGAGAAGAGGGGUGCGGUGGUCCACGACGGGACCCUCCCUGCCUGCCGGGCACCCAAGCAGGAGGGGGGAUGCACGGGUACGUGUGUAGCGGGGAGCGGGUGUGCCUCAGCUGACGGGGUCAGCCAGCACCUGCU